GGCAUGGUGCUUGGAUCCUCUGCAAAAGCUGGAAUUCUGGCAUUGGCUAGCAUGAGUUCAUUCUGAACACACUUUGCAUAAUGAUGAUCAGUAUGAUUGAUAACCAGCAGUUAACAGGAAUUUCCUAGGACACUGCAUUUCACUCAUGUUUCAUCACACAGGUCCUCACAUAAAAAAUGCCAGUCUUUUUCCAUGAGAUUCCAGAUUUUUGAACAGGAGUAAACCCUACAAAAUUAUUUCUUCUGAUCCUUUACUCUGUAGAUGACUAAACCAAGGCUUAGCGAGGUGACGUGACUUUAUUCACAUGUGCUGAGUAGACAGUGGAGGAGGACUAGAAUGCAGGUCUCCCAGCUCACCAUACAGACCUCUUUCCAGAAACCACACUGAAUCCAGAGGACUCCUGUGCAGCCUUCGCCCAGUGGACACAGCACCCACAUUUUGAGCCUCAA
rnacentral:lncRNA from 1 species